CUACUACGAUAGUUACUUAUAUUAUUGAUUCAUCGCGUUACCAUUAAACUUUAUGUCAGAUCGGAAUACAAAUCUUUUUGAAGAGGCUUGAAAAUUUAGUAAAGUAAACAAAAUGAAGCUGUCAUUCAUACUGGGUCUUGCCGUUUUUAGUCUUUUGGCUUCUACAGGAGCAUUGCCGGUGCCUCAAGCUCCAUUGGUUAUGGCAUUGGUCACCAAACCCGAAAUGGAUAUUCCAGAUAUUGAUCUCUGGGCCAGGACUUAAAAGUUACAGGAUACUUUAGACUGCCUUCUGCACACUGUUUUUCGCCCUGAUUCGCUGCAUAUUUGGAAAAGAAUUUUUAAUUAAAACAAACAAUAUGUUACCCAAAUUGUUGCUGCUGCUUUUGGAGCGCCGAAAAGCUGUGCAAAAUUGCACAUAUUGGACAAGAGGCUGCGACGGGUUGUUGCUAAUGCAUUUACUUGGCUUAAUUAGUUGAGAUUCUACAUUAUUCAUACGCCACGUGUGACCAGCGGCCACCCACUCGCCUGCAAAUGCCCACCCGCCCAAUGUGCUGAUGCCUGCCGUCUCCUUCUUUUCCUGACAGCAUCAUAAUUUUCACUUAAUUAAAGUUGUCGUUGUUGA
rnacentral:lncRNA from 1 species